AGCGCAGGUGGGAAAGUAAGUCAGUCUUAAAAGUGCGGGGCUCAACUCCGUGAGGGGAUUGAAACUACUUUUCUUGAGUGCAGGAGAGGAAAGCGGAAUUCCUAGUGUAGCGGCGAAAUGCGUAGAUAUUAGGAGGAACACCAGUGGCGAAGGCGGCUUUCUGGACUGUAACUGACACUGAGGCUCGAAAGCCAGGGGAGCGAACG
rnacentral:rRNA from 1 species